AUAGCAUGUAUAUGUGAGAAUACCUAGUUAUAUGAGAAUAAACCUCUGCCCUUGGAUCAUUCUAAUCAAACGGCUCACAAUUACAUUUUACUAAACGCAAAAAAAAAAAAUCACUUCCUAACAUACAGUAGCUUCACCUACUAUAGCAAAAACCCACAAUUCCGUCCUCCAUUGAAGCUCAAACAAAUUCAAGUAGCUCGACUUACUAUAGCAAUUUAGCAAUUUCGUCCUCAAUUGAAGCUCGGCAAGAUCCAAACUUCUGCAUUGAAGCUCGAACAAGAUUCAAACUAGUGUUUUUAUUAAUAUAGUUUAUUGUACCAUUAAUAAUCUGCAUUCGCAGGCUACGACUUUUUCUAACCUUUUGGCGUCAAGUGGUGAUCCAAGAGCCGGAAAGAUAAUCAAUUUCAACCUAAAGCUAAUCAAAAUGUGUUGGAGAUUGGAGAUCAUAUGAGCAUAUUCAUAUUGUUCAUGGCGGUAUUUAUGCAAUGAUGUACUCAAAAAUGUUUAUGGGGAAAGGAACUUCUUCAUAGGAUUCUAGCCUAAGAAAAGAUCUUCAAGGAUGACUUCGGAUGGUCAAAACAAUUAUGUUUCAAGAAUGCUAAGGUGAUGAUGAGCGAGUGACUUGAACACCUUCAUGUAUUUGGGAGAAAUUUGCCAAAUUUUUUGUAAAGAAAGGAAAAAAAUUUAGACUUUUACAAGUUUAGAAUCUCUAAAUUAUAUAUACAGAGAAUUUCAUGUA